GGGUUAUGAUGAUAUUUCCAAGGAAAUAUACUGACCCUAAUGUGGCUAAGGUGAUUUGAUUUUCAGAAGUUGGAAGAGGAAGACGAUGAAGCAUGGUGUUAUUUUAUCAAUCUGCCUCUUGUUCUGGUUGUACUCUGUAGCUAGUUAUAUUGUAAUCGGUAGUAGUUAGCACAUUUAUUGUAAUCUGCCUCUUGUUCAAGAAUUUAGUUCUGUUCCAUUUGAAAUAUUUGGAG